rnacentral:tRNA from 1 species
GGCACCAUACCCAAGCGGUAAGGGAGCGGUCUGCAAAACCGUUAUGCAUCAGUUCGAUUCUGAUUGGUGCCU